CAGUAGCCGCGGUAAUCCGUAGGGUGCAAGCGUUAAUCGGAAUUACUGGGCGUAAAGCGUGCGCAGGCGGUUUGUUAAGACAGAUGUGAAAUCCCCGGGCUCAACCUGGGAACUGCAUUUGUGACUGGCAGGCUAGAGUAUGGCAGAGGGGGGUGGAAUUCCGCGUGUAGCAGUGAAAUGCGUAGAUAUGCGGAGGAACACCGGUGGCGAAGGCGGCAACCUGGCUCAUUACUGACGCUGAGGCGCGAAAGCGUGGGGAGCAAACAGGAUUAGAUACCCCCGUAGUCCCUGUCUCUUAUAC
rnacentral:rRNA from 1 species